rnacentral:rRNA from 1 species
CUGGGCAAGUCAAGGAUGAAAGCCCGAGGCUCAACUUCGGAACCGUCCUUGAAACUGCUCAGCUUGAGGGUAGUUGAGGAGAGCGGAAUUCCCGGUGGAGCGGUAAAAUGCGUAGAUAUCGGGAGGAACACCUGAGGCGAAGGCGGCUCUCUAAACUACUCCUGACGCUGAAUCACGAAAGCUAGGGGAGCAAACAGGAU